rnacentral:SRP_RNA from 1 species
CUGUCGGUCCCCCCGCGACGAUAGUCUGUAAACUCCGCCAGGCCCGGAAGGGAGCAACGGUAGCAGAUGAUUCGGGUGCCGGGGUGUGGCUGGCAGGGUC